rnacentral:rRNA from 1 species
UACAGAGGUCCCAAGCGUUGUUCGGAUUUACUGGGCGUAAAGGGCGCGUAGGCGGCGUAACAAGUCACUUGUGAAAUCUCCGGGCUUAACCCGGAGCGGCCAAGUGAUACUGUUGUGCUAGAGUGCGGAAGGGGCUACUGGAAUUCUCGGUGUAGCGGUGAAAUGCGUAGAUAUCGAGAGGAACACCUGCGGCGAAGGCGGGUAGCUGGGCCGACACUGACGCUGAGGCGCGAAAGCCAGGGGAGCGAACGGG